UCCCUAUUGUGCGAGUGAGAGAAAAUACGAGGCUUGGGGGCGGUAUCACUCUGGGCAUCAAUCGGUUUGACUGCAAGUUUCCGUUCUCAGAGAGGAAAGGAGAUGCUAUUUGAAGACCAAAAGAGCAAAACUAAAAGGAAACAGCAUACGGAUGGUGCCAUCCAGUGGCCGAACCGGAGAAACCAGCAGACUCUUCAGAGACCAAAAAGACAAGCCAAAUGGAGCGAACAACGGCGCGCAGAGGCUGCCACCUGGUGGCAGCAUUCGGAACAACCGGCGGAACCUGUCAGAGGGGUUAGGGUUAGUUAGGUUUAGCGUUAGGUUAGGGUUAGGGCUCAUGCUAGCGUCAGGUAGGGUUUGGUCUGGGGAUAAGUCUUGGGUCAGUGUUAGGGGUAGAGUUCGGUUUAUACAUUUUUCGAAGCUUAUCUGGAAAAUCUGCCGUCAGCUGUGCCAGGGCCAGGGCUACGUCUAUUUAAGGAUGGCACACACGCCUGUGUUUAGGAAUGCAACUCAGCAUUAAAGGUGCGGGGACGCGUUUCGGGGGGGGGGAUGCGUUUACACUCCGGAACAGUGACCUCCUCCCGGGGCACAGCUAAGCUGGCAGCGUACAGACUCCUGUGCUCGGGUACGCAGUAGACGGACGCGCCGACACCCGUGCACAGGCCGAGGGAACACAUCUGUGUCCAGGGGCUCGGCCACUGUGUAAAGCGCCAACUCCUGCGUCCUCUGGCGCAGCUUGUCGUCAACAGAGCGGCUGUACUUCCAGAAAUCUGGAGGUCGAUGCAGGAGGAUCUCUGUUUACAAUAGCGUCACCCAAAGGAGGCGAGUGGUUAGGGUUGGGGUGGCGGCCACGGCGUGAAUUCUCCGGUUUGCCCCUGUCCUGAUGCGCGCAUGCAUUCCGGGUGAUGCCGCUCGUUUCGGCUUGCACAUCUUAGUGUUAAAGAGCCCGUGCGCCCCGGCACAUUGCAGAUUUUGCGGUGUUUUUGUGCUCACAGCGUCCCGGAGGCUUCCGUGUAGUCACCGCCGGUGCUGGGCAGUGUGGCCUCCCGCACCUGGCGACUCAGGACCCCGCAGGGACUCUGCGUGGACCGUGCGAGAACCAGACACGCGACGGUCUCAAGCCCUAAAUUGCACCUCGGAUCAUGAUUGAACGCUCUCGCCAGCGUCGAGGAAUCGAGGACAAGUCCAGGCGAGAACGGAACCUGCUCGUGUUCUCUGCACGUUUGAGUUUUUUGUUUUAUAGCUAGCUUCCCUGCGACCCCACAGGCUCCACCGCCAUCAGGGAGGCUUCAGAGAGCUCUUAAGGCUCUGCAGACGGAUGAACAGAGCCGAAACGCCCGACCUCCGCGAGUUUACAGCCGAGUGCUCUCGGGAACGGCCGAGCGUGUUCGGAAACGAGAGGCGGCGGAAAAGACCGAGACUGGCUGGCAGCGCCGAGCAUUGACGAAGACAUCCGAGUGUCCGUGAGAGGAUGCCGAGCGCUCCGGAGGGCGGCCGGAAAGAGCCGAUGUGUAGUCGGGAGCAGCCGCGCGGAGCGUGAGGUUUCCGAGACCCGAAGGAAUCGGGUCUGGACAACGUGAUGACGUCAGGAGCCCGGGCAGGGGCCCUGUGAACUGCGGGAGAGGGGUGCUGAUGGCGUGGGGGCGGGACCGCAGGGUGGGCGGGCCUGAUGAUGGUUCCGUCUCUAGGGAACUGCUGCGAGGAUGACUUGUGGACCAGCUGCACGCGGCCGCUGCAUGAUACUACAUCUGCAGGGUCAGAGUCAGGGCUUGACCCCUGCAAAUAUGGCUGGGUCAGGGUCACAUCAGGGUCACGGUCAGAAUCCUCUGCGGCUUAGCCCCCCGGCAUCGGGUGUGCACAAACAACCACGUUACUGUACUCAUCUGCCCCGUUCACUUCCGCCCGUCAGCCCUCUGCGGACUUCAAGACCACAGCCGCUCAGGGAGGUGACCUUCGCAGCUCUCCCAUCACCCCUACCUCCCAUCAAGUGCCGCUCCGGCUUAGCCUUGCGACUUCAUCACGAGGGAGGCAGGAUCUUAGCCGGAGGGGGUACCCUCUUAAGGGGAGGAGGAGGGACGGCCUGUCCUCUGCCUUUUAUGCCCCCUAGAUUCUCUCCGUGCUGGCUAGUUUUGUCAGCUAAGGUCAUCUGAGAGGAGGGAACCUCAAUUGUGAAAAUGCCUCCAUAAGAUCAGGCUGUAGGCACGAGUGUAGAGCGUUUUCUUAAUUCAUGGUUGAUGGGGGAGGGCCCAGGCAAUUGUGGGCAGUGUUAUCCCUGGGCUGAUGGUCCUGGGUUCUAUAAGAAAGCAGGCUGAGGAAUCCUUGAGGAGCAAGCUGGUAAGCAUCACCGCUCCAUGGCCUCUGCAUCCGCUCCUGCUCUGACUUCUUUCAUAGACGACGAUUUCCUAGCCAAAUAAACCAUUCCUCCCCAA